UGUUAAAAAUCGCAUCCUUUUGUACUGUUAGAAACUGGCGUGACUGAUAGAAUAACCAGAUACACAUAGCAUGUCAUGUGUAACUCAUGCUGAUGCACAUAAACCAGUUUUUAAUAGUAAAAAUAGAUGAAAUUUUUAUUA
rfam:Gossypium raimondii Chr11_contig_1503, whole genome shotgun sequence.